rnacentral:lncRNA from 1 species
CAGGAAUCCAGCUCAGGUUACGAGUGACCGACAGUUGCUACCAUCUACUGGCUGUUUGUGAUCCUGUGUGAAACAACAGGGCAUUGAGACUCCUUCCUGGUCCUGUCGGCCCAGUCGUGGACAAAUGGCUUCUGUCUGGUUGGCAAUCUGACCAAAAGCUUGUUGGGAUUGGCACCCAACAAGGGAGGUAACACUUUCAUGAGUCAUUUGAGUAGGUCUUUGGCUCCUGUAUCAUGUGUUCUGGGAGUGUUUUGAAGUCCUUUUGAAACAGAAGAACAACAGGGACUAAAUUUUGAUACUUUUUUUUUUCUCACUCACACUGAAAAGACUAACCCUGGAAGAGUAAAGGCAAGUCCACAAUCCGUCCAAAACACAGACUCUACAAGGAAUCCAUAGACAUAUUUUGUUUAUUAGUGCCCAUUCAGCUUUGGAUCAAUUGAGUGUGAAGGACAGUGGGAGAGGAGACAGUGAAUUUAAUGACUGUGAGUCUGAUAUCAUUGGAGAAAGGUUAAAGAAGCCACCUUCAGAGAUGAUGGAAAACCAGGUUGGAAAGUAUAAAACUAACAUCUCAAUUUUGGAGUGCAAGACAUAAAUGAAGGCAAUGAGCUGAAACAAACCUUGGUCUGCUUUGCAAAGCCCCUGGCUGAAGAAAGGUAGGAGUAGACAGAAAAACAGGGCUGUCUGACCCCUUAGUUCCUAGCAUCCCUG